GAGGAGCCAGUGUCAUCCCAGUGAGAUGUGGAUUAGUUGAGUUGUGUGCCUGGCCUGCUGCCUCAAUCCUCAAAACACAGCAUCAGCAGUGAUUCUAGGCAGAUUAUGCAUUAGUCAACUGGUAUUUAGCUGCAGCCCAGAUGGACAGUUCUUGGGUCAUGGGCCAUGUGAGUGUUUCUUGAUUUCAAGAGAAUGUUACCAGUUGAGGCAGAAGGACAGUUGGACAGACAGGACUACAGGGCACCUGACUGUACUGUGACACCAUCCACUGCUGCUUAGUAGUGGCAGUGUCAGAUGACGUGUUACCUUUGCUGGUGACGGCUCCUGUAGCACUGGCACACAAUGAUGGAAGCACUGGGUCAUCAGCUACUUAUAUUCCAGGUCUUAAGAUUACAGAUGUGUUGGAUGGUACUGUGCAAGUUAUACAUGAAGAUUGUGUGAAUGCAGUCAACACAAACACUGCAAGGGAAGAAGUCUUAAUUUCUGAGGAAAAUUAUGCAGCCUAUCAGCAGUUGGUUGUGAUGGUAAUAUCAGUCAGUUUCCAGAAUAAAACUAGAUCUUGCACUGCUGUUUUUAAGCCUUGUCACCAACUGGAUGGCAGCUGUUUCCCAUUUACCCUAGAAAGUGGUUUCCACAAGUUUUGCUUCUCUUCUCUUAGCUAAUUCUUAAAAUUAAGUAGGGCAGCGGAGACAGUAUCACUUCAUUGGUGUUUAUAUGGAUGGUGUUGCAGGGGAGGUGAAUGUGAGAAUGAUAGGUAGUGAUGGUAAAUUUAAGUUAGAAUCAGUUCCUUUACUGAUGACUCCCUCAUUGAAAAGAUGUAGACAGCUGGUAAAGGAUCUUAGAAUCAGUUCCUUUACUGAUGACUCCUUCAUUGAAAAGAUGUAGACAGCUGGUAAAGGACCUUAGAAUCAUUUCCUUUACUGAUGACUCCUUCAUGGAAAAGAUGUAGACAGCUGGUAAAGGAGUGUGUGAAGGGAAGAAAUUUAAUAAGAGACCAAGAGCAAAGUAAUGAAGGUAUGGCUGCCUCAAUCAACAGUGAGCUUGAUCACUGGAAGUAUACAACAUAACACACAAGCACUUUAUUAGUGUGAAAAUAGUUUGUUGUGGAGUAAAGCGCAAUCUUGAUAAUCCAGAACCUACUUAUGUUAUUUGAAUUAGAUAAACUACACUAAA